rnacentral:rRNA from 1 species
ACCCGCUGAACUUAAGCAUAUCAAUAAGCGGAGGAAAAGAAACCAACAGGGAUUGCCUUAGUAACGGCGAGUGAAGCGGCAACAGCUCAAAUUUGAAAUCUGGCCUCUUUGGGGUCCGAGUUGUAAUUUGCAGAGGGCGCUUUGGCGUUGGCAGCGGUCCAAGUUCCUUGGAACAGGACGUCACAGAGGGUGAGAAUCCCGUACGUGGUCGCUAGCCUUCGCCGUGUAAAGCCCCUUCGACGAGUCGAGUUGUUUGGGAAUGCAGCUCUAAAUGGGAGGUAAAUUUCUUCUAAAGCUAAAUACUGGCCAGAGACCGAUAGCGCACAAGUAGAGUGAUCGAAAGAUGAAAAGCACUUUGGAAAGAGAGUCAAACAGCACGUGAAAUUGUUGAAAGGGAAGCGCUUGCAGCCAGACUUGCCUGUAGUUGCUCAUCCGGGCUUUCGCCCGGUGCACUCUUCUGCGGGCAGGCCAGCAUCAGUUUGGGCGGUUGGAUAAAGGUCUCUGUCAUGUACCUCUCUUCGGGGAGGCCUUAUAGGGGAGACGACAUGCAACCAGCCCAGACUGAGGUCCGCGCAUUUGCUAGGAUGCUGGCGUAAUGGCUGU